AUGAACGCUGGCGGCGUGGAUAAGGCAUGCGAGGUCGAACGGUUUUCUUUAUUGAAGAAGAUGCGAUUACAUCAAAUUAACAGAUAUUUUGAAAACAGUGGCGAACGAGCUAGUAACACCUUGGUACGUACCCGAAAGUUUGGUAUAGCUCGCCGAAAGGCGGGGUAAUCCCAAAUAGUCCCUUCAUCUAUCGGAUGAUAGGGUAAAGUAGCAAUACGCUUUCGGAUCGGCCUAGGUCCGAUCAGUUAGUUGGUGAGGUAAUGGCUCACCAAGACAAUGACCGGUAGGGG
rnacentral:rRNA from 1 species